rnacentral:rRNA from 1 species
CACGUAGGGUGCGAGCGUUGUCCGGAAUUAUUGGGCGUAAAGAGCUCGUAGGCGGUGUGUCGCGUCGGCCGUGAAAACCUGCAGCUUAACUGUGGGCUUGCGGUCGAUACGGGCAUCACUGGAGUUCGGUAGGGGAGACUGGAAUUCCUGGUGUAGCGGUGAAAUGCGCAGAUAUCAGGAGGAACACCGAUGGCGAAGGCAGGUCUCUGGGCAUUAACUGACGCUGAGGAGCGAAGGCAUGGGGAGCGAACAGG